rnacentral:rRNA from 1 species
GAUGAACGCUAGCUACGGGCUUAACACAUGCAAGUCGAGGGGAAACGACAUCGAAAGCUUGCUUUUGAUGGGCGUCGACCGGCGCACGGGUGAGUAACGCGUAUCCAACCUGCCCAUCACUUGGGAAUAACCUUGCGAAAGUAAGACUAAUACCCAAUGACAUCCCACGAAGACAUCUGAAUGGGAUUAAAGAUUUAUCGGUGAUGGAUGGGGAUGCGUCUGAUUAGCUUGUUGGCGGGGUAACGGCCCACCAAGGCAACGAUCAGUAGGGGUUCUGAGAGGAAGGUCCCCCACAUUGGAACUGAGACACGGUCCAAACUCCUACGGGAGGCAGCAGUGAGGAAUAUUGGUCAAUGGGCGAGAGCCUGAACCAGCCAAGUAGCGUGCAGGAUGACGGCCCUAUGGGUUGUAAACUGCUUUUAUAAGGGAAUAAAGUGGGUCUCGGGAGACUUUUUGCAUGUACCUUAUGAAUAAGGACCGGCUAAUUCCGUG